rnacentral:lncRNA from 1 species
UUGAAUAUGUCAUCGUGAAGGGCAAUGUGUGACUCCUGUAAAACAGGUCUGCUUUAUGGUCUGUGGCUGAGCAAGCAGGAAAGCAGAUGACAGAGGCAAAAGGAAACAUGAACUCUGGGGACUCCGAGGUCCAGCUUACUACCAGGAUGUGUAGGUUGUAGACGUUGAUGAUAAAAAGGGUCUACCGGAACCUGACAAAUACAGAGGUGGAUGUGCAGGGAUGUGCGAGGAGUCGGGUGAAGCCCUGGCGGAGGUCUUCUGUCUUGUCAGUUCUUCUUGAGAUAGUGGAGGUGGAAGAGCAUUGGUGGAGGGUAAGACCUUGUCUUAGGAGAUAUUUAGGGUUGCUGUAUAAUAAUAAAAAGUUUACUUAUUUAGGUCUAAGUUACUUUACUACUGUAGCUGAUGUGACUUCUGUGUUCCUCUGAAGCCAGAAACUG